rnacentral:rRNA from 1 species
GAUGAACGCUAGCUACAGGCUUAACACAUGCAAGUCGAGGGGAAACGGCAUUGAGUGCUUGCACUCUUUGGACGUCGACCGGCGCACGGGUGAGUAACGCGUAUCCAACCUUCCCAUUACUGUGGGAUAACCUGCCGAAAGGCAGACUAAUACCGCAUAGUCUUCGAUGACGGCAUCAGAUUUGAAGUAAAGAUUUAUCGGUAAUGGAUGGGGAUGCGUCUGAUUAGCUUGUUGGCGGGGUAACGGCCCACCAAGGCUACGAUCAGUAGGGGUUCUGAGAGGAAGGUCCCCCACAUUGGAACUGAGACACGGUCCAAACUCCUACGGGAGGCAGCAGUGAGGAAUAUUGGUCAAUGGACGGAAGUCUGAACCAGCCAAGUAGCGUGCAGGAUGACGGCCCUAUGGGUUGUAAACUGCUUUUGUAUGGGGAUAAAGUUAGGGACAUGUCCCUAUUUGCAGGUACCAUACGAAUAAGGACCGGCUAAUUCCGUGCCAGCAGCCGCGGUAAUACGGAAGGUCCAGGCGUUAUCCGGAUUUAUUUGGGUUUAAAGGGAGCGUAGGCUGGAGAUUAAGUGUGUUGUGGAAUGUAGACGCUCAACGUCUGAAUUGCAGCGCAUACUGGUUUCCUUGAGUACGCACAACGUUGGCGGAAUUCGUCGUGUGGCGGUGAAAUGCUUAGAUAUGACGAAGAACUCCGAUUGCGAAGGCAGCUGACGGGAGCGCAACUGACGCUUAUGCUCGAAGGUGCGGGUAUCAAACAGG